UACGGAGGGUGCAAACGUUGCUCGGAAUCAUUGGGCGUAAAGCGCACGUAGGCGGCCUGAUAAGUCGGGUGUGAAAGCCCUGGGCUCAACCCAGGAAGUGCACUCGAAACUGUCAGGCUUGAAUAUGGAAGAGGGUCGCGGAAUUCCCGGUGUAGAGGUGAAAUUCGUAGAUAUCGGGAGGAACACCAGUGGCGAAGGCGGCGACCUGGGCCAAUAUUGACGCUGAGUGAGCGAAAGCCAGGGGAGCAAACGGG
rnacentral:rRNA from 1 species